UCGUAAUGAAAAGGAAAAAAAUAUGACGAAGUCGUCGAAAAAGUAGAUGUUGGAAUAUGAGUAAAAAUGUGUGUUUGAUUGAUUAAUAGAUAUCCCAUUACAAGGCCCUAGGGUCUAUAUUUAUACCCUGCUCAAAGAGCUACAACCAGACACGACUACAAUUCGAAUUCCAAAUUACAUAGAAUCCGUAUACAAAACGAUUUAAAUAACUAAGGAAAACAUAAAGCUAUCUCCCCAUGACAAACUGGAACACCUCCACAAACUGAUCGGCAGCUUCCGGACUCUCCC
rnacentral:lncRNA from 1 species